GGAGCUCUCUUGGAUGCAUCUGAGACAUCCACCUACCUUUAGACUAAAGGUCCUUCCUUGAAGGAAAGCUAGGAUAGUUUAUGCAUAAUUUUUAAAAAUUUUUCUUGCAACAAAAGCAAACUAGAUUAAACUAUUUAAUCUACCAUACACUAGAUCUAAUCUAAAACUGCCUAAGUUAGGAUCUUAUGACUUAAACAUGCAUGUGUAAUUUGAAAAUAAUAUCUAAAAUAAUAUAUUUAAUCUAAAAUAUGAUAG
rnacentral:lncRNA from 1 species